UCUGGUUGAUCCUGCCAGUAGUCAUAUGCUUGUCUCAAAGAUUAAGCCAUGCAUGUCUAAGUAUAAGCAAUUAUACCGCGAAACUNAGAAUGGCUCAUUAUAUAAGUUAUCGUUUAUUUGAUAGUACCUUACUACUUGGAUAACCGUGGUAAUUCUAGAGCUAAUACAUGCUAAAAAUCCCGACUUCGGAAGGGAUGUAUUUAUUAGAUUAAAAACCAAUGCCCUUCGGGGCUCACUGGUGAUUCAUGAUAACUCCUCGAAUCGCAUGGCCUUGUGCCGGCGAUGGUUCAUUCAAAUUUCUUCCCUAUCAACUUUCGAUGUUUGGGUAUUGGCCAAACAUGGUUGCAACGGGUAACGGAGGGUUAGGGCUCGACCCCGGAGAAGGAGCCUGAGAAACGGCUACUACAUCCAAGGAAGGCAGCAGGCGCGCAAAUUACCCAAUCCCGACACGGGGAGGUAGUGACAAUANAUANUGAUACAGGGCUCUUUUGGGUCUUGUAAUUGGAAUGAGUACAAUUUAAAUCCCUUAACGAGGAACAAUU
rnacentral:rRNA from 1 species